rnacentral:rRNA from 1 species
UUUUAAGUCCAAUCUGCCCAAUGAUUAUAUUAUUUUAAAUGGCUGCAGUAUAAAUAACUGUACUAAGGUAGCAUAAUAAUUUGUUUUUUAAUUAAAAACUAGAAUAAAAGAUUUAAUGAAAUAUAAACUCUAUUAAAAUUAAAAAUUAAAUUUUUUAUUUAAGUAAAAAAACUUAAAUUUAAUUUAAAGACAAUAAGACCCUAUAAAAUUUCAUUUUAAAUUUUAUAUUAAUUUUUUAUAUAAAUAUUAAAAUUUUAUUGGGGUAAUUAAAAAAUUAAUUAAACUUUUUUAAACUAACCCAGAAAUUACUGAAAAAAAAAUCUUAAAUUUUAAACUAUCAAAAUUAAUUACUUUAGGGAUAACAGCAUAA